CACUGGAGGAGGGGGAGGGGGGUUGGCCCUCUCACAGAGAGAGUCCCUCCUACGGGAUGGAUGAGAACCGGCGACACAGCCAAAAGAGGGUUGACACAGCUCUCGUCCGCUCACGCCUCGUACUGAGCCUCUCGAGCCUCUUGAUCAAAGGUUUCCCGUGUCCUUGGUAGACCGGGACCCAGCAAGCUUACCAACAGAACGGGGUUUCCAGCAGACCCACCGUGACAGCUCCUUCGGGGACCAGGAACAGGAAGAGGAAGAAAUAAAACCUUGGACAGCUCCAGGGACUGGCCACUGAGAUUGGCGAGAAACCAAAACAACCUGGAAUGUUUGCUUCCUUGUUUGAUGAGAGUGGUUAUCUACUUUACAGGAUAAAAGUUCUCUGUGAGAAAGGUAAAAUACAACAAAUAGAGAAGAAAAAGAAAAAAAAAACUGUGAUCUUGAGAAAUUUUCAUUAAAAUGUAAUUUU